AUAGCGUAUAUUAAAGUUGUUGCAGUUAAAAAGCUCGUAGUUGAAUUUCUGGCUGGAGUGUUAUUUGGCCUUGGUCGAUAACAUUCUCAGUCAUCCGUAUGAGAAACUAACUCGCUCUUCAUCGGGCGGUUAGUGUAUCAUACAUUUUACUUUGAAAAAAUUAGAGUGUUUCAAGCAGGCAAUUGCUGGGAUACACAAGCAUGGAAUAAUGGAAUAGGGCUUUGACCUAUUUUAUUGGUAUAUUAGGUCGAAGUAAUGAUUAAUAGGGACAGUUGGGGGCAUUAGUAUUUAAUUGUCAGAGGUGAAAUUCUUGGAUUUAUUAAAGACUAACUACUG
rnacentral:rRNA from 1 species